AUACGGAGGAUGCGAGCGUUAUCCGGAUUUAUUGGGUUUAAAGGGUGCGUAGGCGGCCUUUUAAGUCAGCGGUGAAAGUCUGUGGCUCAACCAUAGAAUUGCCGUUGAAACUGGGGGGCUUGAGUAUGUUUGAGGCAGGCGGAAUGCGUGGUGUAGCGGUGAAAUGCAUAGAUAUCACGCAGAACCCCGAUUGCGAAGGCGGCCGGCCAAGCCAUGACUGACGCUGAUGCACGAAAGCGUGGGGAUCAAACAGGAUUAGAUACCCUGGUAGUCCACGCAGUAAACGAUGAUCACUAGCUGUUUGCGAUACAGUGUAAGCGGCACAGCGAAAGCGUUAAGUGAUCCACCUGGGGAGUACGCCGGCAACGGUGAAACUCAAAUGAAUUGACGGGG
rnacentral:rRNA from 1 species